UGUGUAUUUCCAUCUCAAUCAUUUCUUUUUAGAAUUUCAAAUCAAUCAUCCACUUGCCUCAGCAGUUUUCACUCAGAGCCUUUCCUCCUCACCACCACUGUUCCCUCUGGAAUACGGUAGCUCUUCCAUGACAGAAACCAAAUACAGCAGUGAAAUAAAGAUUUUCUCCCAGGAGAGGAGACUUUUACAGUGGUGCAUCCUCUGCUUCUCAUUUCCAGGCCACAUUGUGGUCUGAGAAACACAUGUUAGGCCGCAGCCCUGAGAAACAGCACCUGGGCCCAGCUCUUCCCAAGCCUUUCAGAAACACCCAGAGCACAUCAGAAAGCUGCUGUCUAACCAGCAUUGUUUUCCUUAUGAACAGCCUUGGAAAAUAUUUUUCUUGCCUGAAGGGUAUAACAUUUCUGUUCUCACCCCUUCAAAGAACGUGCCAAGCCAAACUGUGGCCAGGAUGGAACGUUGUUAUGGUGGGAAGAUAAACUCUACCACCCUUGGGGCCUCUGAAGCCACCAAGUCAGACCAAUCCCUUUGGCAGAGUUUGGAUGCUCUUGUGGUCACCGAGCCUGAUCCAGACAUCAGAGAUGUCAAUGGGCAGUGUCACCUGACAGGCUUUCAACAAAGCUUCUCCACAUCUGAGUUCCCUUGUUAUUUAACCUGCUGGGAGAUGGCAAGUCCCUGGCAGAGGAACACCAGUCUUCCAGAAGAUCCAUCUAGCUGGAUAUUGAUACCCAAACUACACCAGCACCUCUGAAGGCAGGCAUGUGCAGGAAAGACCCAUCAAA